UCCCUCUUAGCUCAGCGGUAGAGCGCUUCACUAGUAUCUCACCCAUCUGCUGUUGCAUCAUGAAGAGGUCAGUCGUUCAAGUCGGCUAGAGGGAA